GUGAGGAAUAUUGGACAAUGGGCGCAAGCCUGAUCCAGCCAUGCCGCGUGCAGGAAGACGCAUCUAUGGUGUGUAAACUGCUUUUGUACGGGAAGAAACACUCCCUCGUGAGGGAGCUUGACGGUACCGUCAGAAUAAGGAUCGGCUAACUCCGUGCCAGCAGCCGCGGUAAUACGGAGGAUCCAAGCGUUAUCCGGCAUCAUUGGGUUUAAAGGGUCCGUAGGCGGUUUAAUAAGUCAGUGGUGAAAGCCCAUCGCUCAACGAUGGAACGGCCAUUGAUACUGUUAGACUUGAAUUACAAGGAAGUAACUAGAAGAUGUAGUGUAGCGGUGAAAUGCUUAGAUAUUACAUGGAAUACCAAUUGCGAAGGCAGGUUACUACUUGUGGAUUGACGCUGAUGGACGAAAGCGUGGGGAGCGAACAGGAUUAGAAACCCGAGUAGUCC
rnacentral:rRNA from 1 species